GCUUAGCCCUAAACACAGAUAUUCUAAUACACUAAUAUCCGCCAGAGAACUACAAGCGAAAAGCUAGAAACUCCAAGGACUUGGCGGUGCUUCAAACCAACCUAGAGGAGCCUGUCCUAUAAUCGAUACUCCACGUUUUACCUUACCCGCCUUAGCCUUCAGCCUAUAUACCGCCGUCGUCAGCCUACCUUAUGAAAGAAACAAAGUAAGCAAAAUAGUUAAUAACUAAAACGUCAGGUCAAGGUGUAGCACAUGGGCGGGCAGAGAUGGGCUACAUUUUCUAAACGAACACACGAAUAACACGUUGAAACACAUGUUCGAAGGCGGAUUUAGUAGUAAAAUAAGCAAGAAAACUCUAUUGAAAGCUGCUCUGAAGCGCGC
rnacentral:rRNA from 1 species